rnacentral:rRNA from 1 species
GAUUUCUGGUUCGGCGCACUUGGCCCGUCUCGGUUUACGGGAUUGUGUGCCGGUGUGCGCCAUCCAUCCUUCGAGAGAACACUUCUACCCUUCACUGGGUCGGGAGUGCUAUCUCGAUCUUUUACUUUGAAAAAAUUAGAGUGUUUAAAGCAGGCUUGCGCUAUGAAUACAUUAGCAUGGAAUAAUAAUUUAGGACUUUGGCCCUAUUUUGUUGGUUUCUAGGACUGAAGUAAUGAUUGAUAGGGAUAGUUGGGGGUGCUCGAAUUCAGCGGCCAGAGGUGAAAUUCUUGGAUUCGCUGAAGACGAACUCAUGCGAAAGCAUU